GAUUACUGUACAUCAAAAGUAGCAAACAGGAAGAAAAUAGCAUUUCAGUUUUUUUUUUAAAAACAAUCAACUAUGAUUAAGCGAGAGUGAUACAUGAACAGGCCGACAACAAGCAAAGAUUUAUUCAACUUUAGCGAAGGAAAUUCGAGUUUGGAAUGAGGAGAGCUUGGAAUGAGGAGCAACCUAGGGAAACUGAGUUAGGAUAAUCAAGGUUUUCGCUAGAGCUCAAAUCUUCCUACUCUCAUUCUCAUUGAAUCCACAGUCAAUCUAACAAGGGAAACAACUUGCUAUUUAAUCUAGAAUCGGAAGGAUUCUACGAGAAACUAUUAUAACCCACCAAUCACACAGUUGAAUAGAUUGAGUGGACUAACGCCUGAAACAAAUAGUUAAUGGAUUAAGUAGUUAGAGGUGGUGAUAAGGAAAAUGGGAUGCCCUGAACCAAAACAGUAAACCAGAAGAUGAAUUAAGGAAAGAAUGCUUAUAAGAAUAACGAUCACGACGAUGCAAUCCUUAAGCCUGAACUAGUAAACUAACAAAUCCAUGCAAAAUCAUUCUAUUCCAAUUUAAUAGACCAAAAUUAGGGUAAUCUAAGCAAGAUCUGUAACAAUGACCCGAGCAAACAAAUGAAUUAAUUCUAGCAUAUGCCGAUUUCUAUAAAAAUAGAUACAUAGUUAUCCAACAUCAACAAUACGAGACAGAGAACUCAGGCCAUAUAAACCAAAAUAAUGAAACCAUCAAUAGAACACGGAUUCUAUCAUGAAUUUGGUUCAACCAUAUCAAGAAAAAACCUAUAGCCUUCCAAGGCUUCUACAGCCAUUCCUAGUGAGCAUAAAAAAAUUUAAAAUUACUACUACUUCAAAAAUGGAAAUGAGAUAAAAUGAGGAGAAAAUAAAUAAAGCAUUGAGAAAUUUACCUCUCUCGGGGCAGCAAAAUAGGACUCGAGCUUCGUUUGGAAUCAGAACCACCAAGAAAUGACGUCUUCGUCAACUCGGAGACCCUACCUGGUCGACGAACUUCUCGAAAGAAAAGAUUUUUACUAGAAACAAAAUUGUUUGCUUUCUCCAAAGGGUAUUUUCCCCUCCUAGACCUACAAAGAAAAAACUUUCUUCUUCUUUUUAUCAAAAAUGCUUAACCCACAACUUUGUACAACCCCAAUUUCGACCCCCCUUAAUUUCUCUCCUAGUUUUCUUAAUGAAAAUUUCUCAAGCCCUUCAGGAUUUCUAACCUCAAACUUUGAAUCAAAAAUCCUCAAAACAUUUACCUCUUGCCCAGACCCAGAAAUUUUGAGCCCUUUUCAGACCAAGAAUGUUUUCUCUCUCUUAAAUUUUUUUUCCCCCGAAAAAAAAAGUCCCUCCUCUAAUGACCCAAAAUGGGUUCUUAUAUAGAUGAACAAUUAGGGGUAAACUAUGGAUUUGAGAAAGGAAUUUGAAAUUUGAACUCAAGAUAACGUUUUUCACCAAUAACUCAUAUGGAUUUUGGAACUUUUGUCGGAUAAAUCCGAAUUAUGGACCAAUCAGAAUUGCAGAGAAAACAAUAUUACCUCAAACCAAUGGAAAUUAGAUGCAUACAUAUGAAAUCGUACCAAUAAUCCCUAAAUUCAUGAAGCUAGCUAUUAUGGGAUGCUACCUAGCUUGUUUUCUAGAAGGCCCGUAUCCCUCUUCGUACCAGAGCGCGUGGGGAAGCGCGUGAUGAUGAAGAGGAGAAGAAAAUGGGUUAGAGCUGGUCAGGUUAUCGAUGUUGCAUUUGGUUGUACGCUGUACUCUGGAGGAGUGGCACGCGUGGUUUCUGUGAGUGUGUAUGCGCUGUGUGUACACUGUCUGUUGUUUGAUUAAAGGAGGAGGGGAAUAAAUGAAAGGGUUUGGGCUAGGUUGUUGGUGGAAGUAGGCUGGACUGGAUUGAUUUUAAAAGGGAAAUUGGGGUGAUGUAAUUGGGCUGAGGAGAGGGUUAGAUGGAUUUAAUGAGUUGGGCGGCUGAUUUUGUUGGGCUAGGGCGUAUGUUGGUGUUUUGGGCUAGCCAAAUCUUAAAGGAUAAAUGGGCUGGUUGGAUUAAAUUGUUAGGUUGGUCUAUGGUUUGAAAUUGGGGCCUUGGCCAUUCAUUUAAAUUUUGGUCAAGUUGAGGAUCAAUUGUUCAAUUACAUUGCAAUUUUGGCUAUUUGAUUUCAAUUAUGACCAAAUUGAAUAAAUUGGCUAAAUUAAACCUCGAAUUAGAUACGAAUUGAUACUUUGUCUAAUCCCGAGCUUCUUAAUUUAAUAAAAUCAAAUGCAUAUUUAUUCAAAUAAAUUAUUUUUGAGAAUAAAUUAUAUUUAAAUCAAGAUUUUAAUCAUUUAAAAUUAUUUUCAAGAUGAGCCUUAAUUAAAUAUGAUAUUUUGUAAAAUAAAUAUUUAAGUAACAAAUUAUAUAAUAUCGUAUAAAUGAACACGAUAGUAUAUAAUCGCUACUUAAACUGACAAAAUCACGUACGAAAAAUAAUUAUUUUAAUUUUAUUAAAAACUAAAGAAACUUAGGACUAAAUUUAGUUGUGGAGGGCAAAAAUUAGGUGUCAACAACUACCCCCUCCCUUUGGGUAGGGUGGAUGCAAUUAACCCUGGGCAAAGGGAGGUUGACGUUCCUAAUUUUUGUUCGACCAUAAAUUCGUAUCUAAGAAAGGUUGGUUUUCCGCACAAGUUGCAUGGAGUUACGGUCGAACCUCGGUAUCAGGCUUCCUACAUAUCUCAGGUUAUAUGAGAAUUCAAGCCACUUAUAGUUCAUAAAGCUUAAUUUUAAGCACGAUUUUCAAGAAAAUUCACCAAGCUAUCUCAGUUUUAAAGUGUUUGAUAAAACUGAGAAACUAGGGAAUAAAAGGAUUAGGAGGGAGGUAGGAAUGCAGUCGAGUUUUCUAUAUAGAUCCCAGCCUAUAUAUCCCCAAGAUUUCAGGGAAUCAGACUACUUAUAGUUCGACUCAAUUGGUAGAAAAGAUAGUCUUUUAUUUCAGACCAUCUUUAGCGCGGAAUGAGUGACAAGUUGAUCGAGUUGUAGAAAAGAGGCUUGUAAUCUCUUAACCAUGAAUGUGGAAUCCUUCACAUCCAUAGGCAAGAACUUACCUGGACAUAAUUUUCAAAACUCUAAGUGUGUUUCCACCCAAAUUUGAAAACAAGAAAAGGUUUCCCUCGUCAUGAGUUUAAAAAUAUUCUGAAGGUGAAGCUGAAACCAGAAUAUCCUGAAAUACCUGCAUGCCUUCUAACAGGGGUGUGGUUGGAUGGUGGUGGUGAUCAUCCUUUAGCUCUCAUCCAAAGAGUUUGACGUCCCUCUUUAAACUAUGUCCCAUUUUGCUGCUAAGAAAGAGUUCCACAUUGUGCUGCGUCCUACCUGAAUUUGUCCACACCUGUGGUUUUUAUUUGAGAUUUCCAUCCUCUCGGAUGCUCUCAACAAUGAUUCAGCAAAAAGUGUUAGUACUAAACAUAAUUCACGAAAGAGGUAUGUAGUUUUUUACCAUAUCUCCACGUGAGUUGUGGCCUAAAAAGCGAAGUCAUAUCUUCAUGUACCUAUUUAGAAUGAAAUAACUGGCAACAACAAACACAACAAAUCUCUUGGUUGUUGUAUAAUUAUGGCAUUUAUCGGUUUAAUAUGUCUUCAAAGUGGGGUGACCCUUUUGGACACCGACGAUAUUUUAUGCAAAACGGUCUCUACAACCGCAUAAUCUUGUGCUGGUGUGGCAACCCUUUUGGUUACCUAUAUCACUUGUUGUAUGUGGAAUGAUAACCUCCCCGGUUAUAGCUGAUGAUCGAUUUAUAAAUUUCUUUUAAAUUAUCAAUCUUUGGAUAAUCUUGCGCAUUAUUUGAUGUUAGAUACGAGGCGACUCACAUAUAUCCUUUGAAUUUCUAGAUUUUAGGUAAUCCUGCACAAUAUCCGACUUUGGAUAGGAGAUGGCUUACAAAUAUCCCUCCAAUCGCUAGCUUUCAGGUGUUCCUACACAUCAUCCGACCUUGGAUACAAUAUGACUUAUAGAUAAUCCCUCAAAUUAUUAGUCUUUGGAUAAUCCUGGACAUAAAAGAUCUUGGAUAUGACGCGGCUUAUUAAGAACCCUUGGACGUAUCAAUUUGAUAAUCUUGCAUAUUCUCUGAUAAGGAUUUAGUUGCGACUUAUGGAUAACCUUUGAACUAUAGAUUUUUGGGCGAUCUUGCACACUAUCCGGUUAGGAUGUUGUUGUGGCUUACGGAUGACCUACAAGCUAUCAACUCAUAGGUGAUCUUGCACACUAUCCUAUUUCAAAUAAUAUGACUUAUAGAUGACCCUCAAAUUGUCAAUUUCUAGGAAAUCUUAUAUAUCAUUCAUCCUUAGAUAGCAACUUAAAGGCGUCCCUUCAAAUCGUGUGCUUUCGAUGCAUUCAGAUACUGAUUCAUAAAAUGAUAAGAUAUCCUCGACACCAGUGUUUAUGUCUUACGUGUCACAAAUAUAAAAUGAUGAAGAUAUCCUCGACGCCAGCAUUGUGUCUCGCAUGUCAACAGAUAUAUUAAAUGCUGAUGAUAUCCUCGACACUAGCAUUGUGUCUCACGUGUCAACAGAUAUAUUGAAUGUUGAUGAUAUCCUCGACACCAGCGUUGUGUCUCGCAUGUCAACAGAUAUGUUGAUGAUAUCCUUGAUACCAGCAUUGUGUCUUGCGUGUCAACAGAUAUAUGAAUAGCCUUCUUGGGCGAUGGUAUGAGAUGACCCUCUUGGCAAUGAUAUGCAAUGGCCUUUGCGGCAAUGAUAUGUGAUGGCUCUUACGGCAAUAAUAUGCAAUGGCUCUUACGGCAACGAUAUGUAAUGGCCCUUGCGGUAAUGAUAUGCAAUGGCCCUUGCGGCAAUGAUAUGCAAUGGCCCUUGUGGCAAUGAUAUGCAAUGGCCCUUUCGGCAAUGAUAUGCAAUGGCCCUUGCGGCAAUGAUAUGUAAUGGAUCUUUCGGCAAUGAUACAUAAUAGCCCUUGCAUAAAUGAUAUACGAUGGCCCUUGCGGAAAUGAUAUAUGAUGGCCCUUUCGGCAAUGAUAUGUAAUAGCCCUUUCGGCAAUGAUAUGCAAUGGACCUCUUGGCAAAUUUUAAAAUAAUUUUACCUGACUUCAUUUGUCAGCGUCUUGCUUUCUACAUGUAACUGUACUCAAGGUAGACGAUUAGUAGACAUAAAGUCGCUUUUACUAGCGACUGUUUUUAGGAAACUUCUAAAUACAAUGUUUGUGAAGAAGACAAGGUGCUUUUGUUUGUCGCCCAUGAUCUCAAGAAAUGAGAUGGACAAAUCAAAAGGUCCUCAAUAAAUGGGUAUUAAACCUAUUUUUAGGGCUACCCUAAAAUACCGUUCUUGGGCAUUAAUGCUCUGUUGUGGCUCCCAAUUUGCUUGGGGAUUUUUGAAAGAGACCCUCACUUUCGUGUAUUGAUCCUUGCAUCCACAUAAAAAUGAUUAGUUUAAAUGAAAUUACUCUGUGUUGACCUUCUUCGAUCCUUGAUUUGCUGCUUGCCAUCUCUUGGGCAUUCCGCCAUAUCAAAACUUCCAUCCUGACACUCCAUCCCAAGUGAUGUCUAGGCAAGUACUAAAUAAGUGAGUUGUAAGAUUUUUUUAAAAUAGUCUUAAUUUUUAGAAAAUAAUUUCGAAAGCUUCUGUAAAACUUUAGAAAAUCUCUGCCAGUCAUGUCAUGUACUAGCCCAACGAACGUCUUCCUCGUGGUUUUGACUAUAUCCAACAAAUGAUUUCCAAAGCUCAUGAUCAUUGUUGGAGGUUUUCUUCAAGUAGUUCUAUCAUAGCAAGAGAUUGAGCUUGCCUAGAAUUUAUCGCAGCUGACUACUUUAAAAGCUUGGCCUUAACCUCUGGUGCUGGGGAAAUUGAAAUAUGUUCCAGCAUCUGGUGAAAAUUUUGAGGUCUUUCCUCAAAAUUUCUGCCCUAGUUUAGAGUUGUUUGAGAUGAUACCAACUCGAGUGGAUCUAAAGUCUUUACUGAUCUUCAUUCUCUUUGUCGGACGUCAAUCUUCUCUUAUGAAUUUUUGAGAUUCCUUAUCAAAAAUUCUGCCCCAGUUUCUAUUUCCUGGGGUUAUAUGACCGAGCCGUUGGGAUGCCUACGUAUCCAGUUGAAGCAGGAAUUAGGUCAAAUGUAGUUCAGAACUACAUUAGGGAUAUACAAAUGAAAUUAAUGGGUUGAUCGAAGCCGACAUAGGCCGCCUACGUAUCCCUUUUAUUGGGAAUUCAGGUCAUCACGUAGUUCAUAUAUAAAGGGAAAGGAUAAAUUAUCCUAAGGGGUUGACCAAAGCCGACAUAGGCCGUCUACAUAUCCCUUUCUUGGGAAUUCAGGUCAAACGUAGUUCGUACAUAAAGGGAAAGGAUUCUAGGUAGUUACAUACUAGAAAACAACAUUACUACGAACGCGAUUACAAGUAAAUUAACUAAAGAAACACAAAAACUAGAACGCCCUUUAAACAUAAUAUCUCUUUACCGCAUCAGAAUUGAUUGGUUUGGUCAACUCUGUGCCAUCCAUCUCAGAAAAAAUCAGAGCUCCUCCAGAUAGUAUCUUGCGAACUAUGUAUGGCCCUUUCCAGUUUGGAGCGAACUUGCCCUUGUACUCUUCUUGGUGAGGGAAUAUUCAUUUGAGAACCAGUUUUCCCACUUCAAAUGUUUGAGCUCUCACCUUCUUGUUAAAGGCAAGAACCAUCCUGUGUUGAUACCGCUAACCAUGGCAUACAACGACCAUUCUCUUUUCAUCAAUCAACAUGAGUUGUUCAUAGUGACCACAAACCCAUUCUUCGUUACUUAGUUCGGCUUCUUGGAUAAUCCUUAGGGAAGGUAUUUCAACUUCAGCAGGUAUCACCGCUUCAUUUCCAUAAACCAAUAGAUAUGGAGUUACCCCGAUGGAGGUUCGAAUCGUCGUGCAAUACCCUAACAAGGCAUAAGGUAACAUCUCAUGCCAUGAUCUAUCAUUUUCAACCAUCUUUUUCAAAAUCCUCUUAAUGUUCUUAUUGUCAGCUUCCACAGCUCCGUUCAUUUGGGGACGAUACGCAGUCGAGUUGCGAUGCACAAUUUUGAAUUGAUCACAAAUUUCGUUCAUCAAGUGACUGUUCAAGUUGGACCUAUUAUCCGUAAUGAUUGAUUCUGGCACUCCAAAUCGGCAAAUUAGGUUAUUCUUAAUGAAAUCUGCAACCACUUUCUUAGUGACGGCUCUGUAUGAAGCAGCUUCAACCCACUUAGUAAAGUAAUCGAUGGCAACCAAAAUAAACCUAUGCCUAUUCGAUGUCGAUGGCUAUAUCGGUUCGAUAACAUCCAUUCCCCAAGCUAUGAACGGCCAAGGUGAAUUCAUUGCAUGAAGCUCAUGUGGAGGCAUUUGAAUCAAAUAUUCGUGUAUUUGACAUUUUAGACAUUUUUGCACAUACCUUUCAUAAUUAUUUUCCAUAGUCAUCCAAAAGUAACCGAUUCUUAGGAUCUUUUUGGCAAGGGAAAACCCAUUCAUGUGGGCCCCACAAACUCCAGCGUGUACCUCUUCAAUUUAUUGGCUUCAGCAGUAUCGACGCAUUUUAGAAAUCCCAAAUUAGGAGUCCUCCUAAAAAUAAAUUCCCCACUUGGAAAGUAGUUCUUUGCCAAACGCCGGAUUGUCUUCUUUUGGUUGUUACUGGACUCUUCAGGAUAUAUUUUAGAUUCCAAAUACCUCUUAAUGUCAUAGUACCAAGGCUUUCCAUCAGGAUCCUCUUCCACGUGCGUACAAUGCGCGGGUUGCUCCUUCAAGCUUAUUUCUAUAGGAUCAAUGUAACUCUAAUCUGGGUGCUGAAUCAUGGAAGAUAUAGUGGUCAAAGCGUCAGUAAACUCAUUUUGUGUCCGUGGGAUAUGUUUGAAAACAACUUCUUUGAAUCUCUCGUAUAAUUCUUGGACUAGCUCCACUUAAGGAGUAAUCUUGGGAUAUUUUACAGCCCAUUCUCUCCGUACCUGGUGAAUCAGCAAAUCUGAAUCCCCGAUGACUAACAAUUCAUGAACACCCAUAUCAAGUGCCAAUAUGAGACCUAAGAUACAAGCCUCAUAUUCAGCCAUGUUAUUGGUGCAUGGGAAACGCAACUUAGCAGUUACCGGAUAAUGUUGGCCUGUUUCUGACACCAAAACUGCUCCGAUUCCUGAACCUUUAAGACCACCCCAUCAAAGAAUAGCCUCUAUCCGGGCUAAAUCUCUGUAAUGUCUUCCCCCACGAAAAAAGUUUCCUCAUCUAGGAAGUAAGUUCAUAGUGGCUCAUAUUCCUCAUCAAUCGAAUUCUCUGCCAAAUGAUCUGCCAAGGCUUGCCCCUUGAUUGCCUUUUGGGCUACAUACUUGAUGUCAAACUCACUCAGCAACAUUUACCACUUGGCUAGCUUUUCUGUGGGCAUGGCCUUCUAGAAUAUAUACUUCAGUGGAUCCAUUCUCAAGAUGAGGUAUGCCGUGUACGAAGACAGAUAAUUCCUCAACCUUUGUGUGGCCCAAGUCAAAGCACAAUAUGUCCUUUCUAUAAGAGUAUAACGGGCUUCAUAUGGCGCAAACUUGAUACUCAAGUAGUAAAUGGGUUUCUCUUUCCUAUCGGUCUCAUCAUGUUGCCUGAGGACACAUCCAAAAUUAUUUUCUGAAACUGACAGGUAAAGCAAUAAUGGAAUUCCUUUUCUUGGUGGAACCAAAACCGGCGGUACAGACAGGUAUUCCUUGAUGCAAUCAAAAGCUCUCUGAUAUUCUUCUGUCCACUCAUUCAAUGCAUUUUCUUCAACAUCUUGAGAAUUGGCUCGCAUAUAACUGUCGAUUGAGCGAUGAAUCUACUAAUGUAAUUCAAAUGACCCAUGAAACUCAUAACUUCCUUCUUGGUCCUCGGCGGUGGCAAGUCCUGAAUUGUCUUGAUUUUGGAUGGGUCUAGCUCGAUGCCUCUUCUGCUGACUAUGAACCCCAACAACUUCCCUGACGGCACACCAAAAGCACACUAAGUAGGAUUUAACUUCAAACUGUACUUUCUUAAUCUGUUGAAAAAUUUCUUCAGAUGAUUCGAACUCUCGCGGGAUUUGAUAAUUACAUCAUCUACGUACACCUCAAUCUCUUUAUGGAUCAUAUCAUGGAAAAUCAUCGUCAUAGCCCUCAUCUAUGUUGCACCUACAUUCUUGAGACCAAACGGCAUUACCUUGUAAUGAUAAACACCCCAGGGCAUAAUAAAAGCCAUUUUUUCUACAUCUUCCUCAUCCAUCAAUAUCUGAUGAUACCCGAUAAAACAAUCAAUGAAUGACUGCAUUUCAUGCUUUGCACAGCUAUCGAUGAGGAUGUGGAUGUUGGGCAACGAAAAAUUAUCUUUAGGAUUGGCUCUAUUCAAGUCUCUAUAGUCAACACAAAUUUGAAUCUUGUUGUCCUUCUUUGGCACAGGGAUAAUGUUGACCAACGACGUCGGAUAUUUUGUGACCUCUACAACCUUAGACUGAAUUUGUUUUCUUACUUCUUCCUUGAUCUUUAGACUUAAAUCUGGCUUGAAUUUCUACAUUUUUUGCUUGAUUGGAUCAAACUCCAAAUAUAUUGGUAACUUAUGCGACACAAUACUGGUGCUCAAUCCCGUUAUGUCAUCAUAGGACCAAGCAAACACGUCAAUAUAUUCCCACAAUAGGUGAAUGAGCUCUCUCUUUUGUGCUUCCGCCAGGUGGACACUGAUGCUUGUUUCUUUAAUUUCAUCAUGAUCUUUGAGGUUGACUGUUUCAGUUUUCUCCAGGUUGGGUUUUUCCCAAUUCUCAAACUCCUCCAUAUCUUCAACUAAUUUUCCCUCAUCAUUGUCCUUCCAAUCAUCAUCGUUUCUUUCAUUUUGUUUGUUUAAACUUUGACAUGACAUGAUAUUGACAGAUUUUAAGUUGCUGUUACUGUAAGGGACAAACAAACCUAGUUAGAUGAUAACAAUAUAAUAACAAAAUAUACGACUAGGAGUGUUUUAGAAAUAAUAGAAUUUUCUAAAUAAAUAAAGGUCUUUUCACUAAAAUUUGAGAGAUAAUUACAAAACCAUGGCUCAUGACUUGCACAAAUAUAAGUCCAUGCCUUUUUGAAAGCAUUAAAAUACGAAAAGAAAGUUUUGAGAUAUAAAAGAUGGAUCACGGGGCCUCCACCGGAUCAUUACCAAUUUUAAAAACUAUUAGUAAUUGCCCUUUCAUCUACCAUGAUGGGCGACGGGUUAUGAGUAGAGUGGAGGUCCAGUUUUGCAAGGCCUCCCUUGACGCAAUCUGCUUCACCCCGCUGGACUUUGGGAAAUCUUCUGGUACAGCACUGCAUCCCUUGAACAAAUCUCCUAUCCCAUCUCCAAGACCAUCAUCAUCUGACACCUCUCGUACAGGAAAUGACUGGAACAGGAGUGGCAAGGGACUAAACAGACUCUUCUCUGACUCAUCCUCAAUCCUAUCCUUCUUGGUAAGCUGAUAUCCUAACCCAUACUUAGAGCCAUUCUCUGGGAUCGCAAUAGGCUCGAUAAUUCCUUGUAGAUACUUACCCAAACCUCGACCAUGUUCAAACCCAUUUCUUAAUAUCACUGUCGUAAUUAUUUUGUAGACAGAAGGCAUUGCCACUUUGGACAUUGAAUCCCUAUCCACGGCAUUUACAAUUUCCACUGUAUAGAAACUGCUACCUUUUGAAACAUCUUCAAUCACCGGCACAUAACCAUUGGGACGAUCCACUCGACUUCCCUUUCCUUGGAUGACUACUUUAUGAUUCUCCUAAAUGAACUUCAAUAAUUGAUGAAGGGGUGAUGAAACUGCCUUUGCACCAUGUAUCCAUGGUCUUCCCAAGAGCAAGUUGUAGCUAGGAUAGAUAUCCAUAAUAUAAAACUUAGUUUUGAACUCAGCAGGUCCCAUUUGGAUGUACAAAUCAAUUUCUCCUAUGGUAUCUUUCUGUCCUCCAUCGUAUGCUCUCACAUUUACGUGGCUUUGACGAAUUUUCCCCAGAUCAUAGUCCAUUUGAACCAACGUAGAGAAGGGGGAAAUAUUCACACCAGAUCCGUCGUCUAUUAAUACCUGAUUAAUCGCAUAAUCUUGGUAAAUGACAGUGACAUACAAGGUUUUGUUGUGCAUCGCUCCUUCAAAUGGCAACUCUUUAAUGCGAUGAUUCCCCAUAAUAUUUCCUAUCAUCGCAGCCAGAUUCUCAACACUCAUUCCUUCGAGAACAUACGCUUCAUCCAAGACCUUCGAUAAAGCUUGUCGGUGGUAUUGCUAACUCAUUAAUUGUGCCAAAAUGGUGAUUUGGGUUGGUGUCUUCUCUAAAUGUUUCACAAUUAAGUAAUCAUUUGGUUGCAUGCACCUCCAAAAUUCCUCAUCCUCUCCUUCAGUGAUUGGCCUUUUUUGUGAAUCCUUUUUGUUCAUCAAUUCCUCAGGGAUAUAGCAUCGUCCCGAUAGCGUCAUCCCUUGGCAGUAGUGGUAUAUACAAUGAAUUCCUUCCUUUAUGAGGGAGGGUUCACCUGACUUAGAUCCGUCAUCACUAUAAAUGGGGCUUUCUCAUUAACACUUGGGGCAGCCACAACCCUCUAUAUCUUUCCUACCUCUUCUUCCCUUUUGGGUUUUUUAGAGUUCACCUUAGUAAUGAUAUUUCUAGAUGCCUAUUCACCCUCGAUUUCAAUUAUAUUACUGUAGGGCCCCCAUGAUUGGGCAAUGGAUUACUGUUAAUAUUUGGUGUAGGUGCUUAGAGCGUGAUGACUUUCUAAUCAAUUAAAUCCUGGAUCCUAUGUUUCAGAUAGAUACAAUCCUCAGUACUAUGCCCUACUGCUCCUGAAUGAUAGGCACAAUGUUGACUUGUAUUAAAAAAUUGAGAGUUGGGAUUGAGAGGCCUUGGUUGUAUUGGUUGCAAAUGACCAGCAUUCUUCAAUCUUUCAAACAAUUAGGUAUGACUUUCAUCUAGUGGGGUGAAGUUUUGGGGAGGUUUAUUUUAGUAGUUUAGAUUUGGAGGGGGGGGGGGGGGUUAUAAUGGCUUUAAUUUGUAGGAGGAGGUACUUGGUUAUAAUUUAGAGGUGCUUGGGAAUUUGUUCGGUUAUUUGGAGGAGUGGAUUAGAAAUGAGACUGAUAAUUUGGAUGUGGAACUGGGUAUUGGGAAAAGAUAUUUGGUUGUGAAGCUUGGUAUGAGGAUUGGAGGUUUGGGAGUGGAGCUUGGUAUUGGGGGGAGAUAUUUGGCUGUGCAGCUUGGUAUUGAGGGUAGGCAUAGAAUACAUGUUGAAGGCUUGGUGACGGCGGGGAAGAGAAAACAUUCCUACAGUUGAUCUUCCUUUUUGAUUUUGCAACAAGAUUAGCAGAAAUCGUGCCCACAUCUUCCUUUUUCUUCUUUGAAAACAUGGCAUCCCCAGACGAUGAUGGGGUCUUGGCAAUUUUUCCUGUCCGAAUACCUUCUUUCAAUGAUUCUCCUAUUUUUACCAAAUCUGUAAAAGUUGCCCUGACAGCUGACACCAUCCUGGUAUAAUAUUCUCCUUCUUGCGCGUGAGAGAACAUGGAUACCAUUUCUUCCUCAGACAUAGGGGGUUGCACUUUGGCAGCUUCUUUUCUUCAACAAAAAGCAUAUUCUCAAAAACUCUCAUCAUUCCUAUGUUUGAUAUGAUCUAGUGAAUAUUGAUCAGGGACUAUUUCAAUGUUGAAUGCGAACCUGUCAAGGAAAACCUUGGCUAAUGCUUUCCAUCCCGUCUAUUUUUUCAGCUCCUAAGACAUGAACCAUUCUAAGGCUUCUCCGCUUAAACUUUGACUGAAUAGGCGCAUCAACAACGCCUCAUUUUUCCCUAUCCCUACCAGUUGCUCACAGUACUUCUCAGAUGGGCCAUUGGAUUUUUGGUACUAUCAAAUAUUUCAAACUUAGGGACUUUGUACCCAUCUGGUAGGUAUACUCCAGGGUGAACACAUAAAUCAUCAUACCCCAAACCAUCGUGGUCCCUGGCUCCAUGAGACUCUUUAAUCCUCAUGAUCUCUUCCUUCAUAGCUAGGAAAUUCCUUUCAUGCUUGGUCCUUCACUCUUUCUCCUCCUCAUAAUAGUCCAUCUCAAGAUUAGGAAGGGGUUCAUAGAUAUCAGGGGAUACGAUGGCCUGAGGGGGAUUUGGAAGGGAGGCUUGAUUUUAUGGAUGAAAGGAAUUUGGUUGGUAAGUGGGAAGGACGUUUUGGAAAUUGGGAAGGUUCUAUAGACUUUGUGAGUAGUUUAGCGGAAUCUAAGAAGGGUUUUACGGAUUUAGAAAUAAAUUUGGGGGAUUCGAAGGUAGGUUUGACGUAGUUUGUGGGUUUGAGAGUGAAUAUUGUGGAUUUGGGAAUGCAUUUUGUUGAUUUGAAAAUGUGUUUUGAGGAUUUGGAAAUGGAUUCGAAGACAGGUUCUGUGGGGUUAGAGAUGGAUUUUAUGGGUGGUAGGCGUUUGGGUUAUUUUCACGAUUAGUAUUUUAGACAAAUAGAGGAGCAGAGACAGACGAUACGUUAUUUGGCUGAUCCCCAAGAGUAGGGGUGCCGAGGGAAGAAAUUUAGAGUGGAGUCCCGUGUCCUCCCGGAGCGGGAGCAUUGACAGUGAUGGCCAAGUUAGCCAAAUCCCGAGUGCGAUUUAUUUCUUCUUGAAGUAUUUCUAACUUUCAUGCAAGUUCCGCAAUCAUCUCAUUCUGUUCCGCUAUCAUAUUGUCCCAGAUAGUCAGUGUGCUUUCUUCGUCAUUUCCUGUCAUUUUUUAAUGAUGGUCAAAGGGUGGGAUUUUGUGCUCUUUCGAUCGGGUGAAGUAGGGAUGUUCUGCCAGCUUAUAUCAACACAGAGUAAUUUCUAUUAUCUGUAAAGGAAAACAACUCGAAGAAAGAUGUGUUAGUUUCCGUAUGUGAUAAGUAAUGCAAAAUAUUUGACAGGAAAUAACCAAAGAGUUGUUUGAGUCAUAGCUAAAUUCGUCCAUAGGACAUAGUGGAUAAACUUGCCUUUGAUCCAAACAAACGCACAUAAGCACAUAAAACAGUUAUAUCACACAAAAACAUUAUAAUAACGCGUAUCCUAGCUGGGGUGACCCUUUUUGAGCCAAGGGUUCAGGCCUAAUGAUUUUUGAAGAAAAUAUAUGCUUCCUUGAAGUCAAUCCAUUAACCCCCAACUUAUAUAGACAUGAAAAAAGGCAUAAAAGCCUACAAAAGAUAACAAAAGAGGGAUACAAUCUUUGGGGAAAAAAGGGAAAUAACAUGAAAGAAGAUAAGUUCCCACACAGGGGAAAUAAAAAAUUAGCUACCGGAGGCUCCUUCCUCUGCCUUUGCCUUCUUUGCCUUGUUUCCCUUUUGUGCUAUUUGAUACCUAUUGAUGAUAAGAUGACUCCCACAUAAUUGUGCCUUGCUGUCGUAAGUCAUUUUUCCUAUACUAUCGAGUUGAGAGGCCAUGCUAUCAUCCAAAUUGAUUAAACACUGCCUAGCAUCAUCAGCCUCUUUCCUAGCUCUUUUCAACUCUUCCCUAAACAUACGUAUUGUUAAAGCAUCUUCUACAUACAUCUGUCAGUGCGUGAUUUCACUUUUCUGAAACUCAUCCUGAAGCCUGUGGAGUCGAAUCUGAUGCUCGAAUUCUAUAUCCAUUACUUGAAUGGGCACGUUUGGCCCCGGAAUCAAUGCUCCGGCGAGGCUCUUUUUUAACCAUUCCUUGUAAGUGCCACUGACUUCAAGUUCAUACCCUAUACAGAAAGAGACUUCCGUCCACCUUCUCCUUCUCCACCCGUUAAUCAUGUAGUCUUUGAGCGAGGGCUCUCUUUCAUCAUAUUUGGUGAAGAAUUUGAGCAUAUAAUCGAUUUGAGGUGUCUCCUGCUUGAUCUCAAAUUGCCUAAGAACUCGGCCAGGAUUGUAGGGACGGGUUCCCUUGAGACCCGAAAGCACUAGAAAAGGCCACUCGCCUCCUCAAAUAAUAUAUUUUCCUGAAUGAAGAUAGUUAAUGGACCAUUAGACAUCAUCAUCUCUUAAUUCUCCAAGAGUCUUAAACCAAAAUUCAUGAGAUGCUUCCCUUUUGAAUUUGGGUAAAAACAACUACAUGUUGUGCGAUUCUAGCAGAUUCCACCUUAUUUUGUGGUCAGGUUGUGUCGUUCUAGGAUUUUUCACCAAAUGCAUCAUUAUCCACCAUUGUAAUAUAAGGUUGCAGCCUUGAAAGAAAUGAUUCUCUACUUGACAUCUUCCCAAAGCUCGAUAUAUGUUGGCAACAAUCAUGGGAGCUAAGUUGUGGAAUACCUUUUUAGAGUUGUACUCCAUUCUAAAGAAGAGUGCAUGGGUCACUGAGAUAACCCUCGGAUGAAUUGUGCCAUUUUCCCCUGUGGGAACACCAUGGUUCUAAGUAGGCCUACCGCAAACGCAAAGGCUCUCAUCUCCUUCCAUUUUGCUUCUGACUCAAAUUUAUGCCCAAAUUUUUGAAAAGCAUUGAAUCUUCCAAACCGACGAUACAACUCAUGAAAAGUGAUAUUUUCUCCAUCACGUUCUCCUAGCCAGGUGUCGUCGUCAAUUAAAAGUACCCCCUUGAUCUUUUGAUGAUCCCACACAAUCGGGACUAAAAUAUUCUUAUCAGGUGUCUCCCUUAUCUUAAAACAUAUUUCCGUACUCUCGUGACAAAUCAAUACCUCUUCAAUGGUGGGAGUCAAUUCAACAUCCCCAAAGAGAAAUACCAUAUUUGGAUCAUCCCAAAAGGUUGCUAGUACAUGGAUCAUUUCGGGACAAACAUCCAUCUCGAUCAAAGAAGGAAGAUGCCCAAUGUGUGUUCUAACAAUCUUUUUCUGUUCUGCACUCAUGUGAUCCCACCAUAGUUUCAAUAAAUCAUCAGGUUUAGUAACCAUCUUGAACUUUUUGUGGGAAUGUAGUUGAGCCAUAUCCUACAUGAAAGCAGACAAAGAUAAGUCUUCCCCCGACCCCAAAGGAUAAUGGAUUGAAUUUAGACAAGCAUGUAUUUUUUUCAACACAUAAAUAUGAUUCGUUUGUAAUUGACUCGGGGUCAAUAGACGCAGGGCAGGUUUUCUAAUAUGCCCAAUACCUUGCUCAGGUAUUGGGUCGUCCUAGGCUCAUGCCUAAAACAGGGUUUUGGUUUUGUUCUAUCCUCGGUGUCUUGAGUGGGUUUGAACACUGAUUCUCAAGAGGACAACUUGAGUUUGAAAAUAUGAACAGCGUCAAACAACUCACGUGCUAAUAAGCCGUUCGUAUUUCCAACACAUUUUGGAAUUAAACAACAGGGGCUGGGACAUCCACGAAACCCCAAAAUAGUUUAAAUAAUGCAGGAAUAUGCCAUGAGAUGCGAUAGUUAAUAUUUACAACAUCGAAACAUAUAAACACAUAAAUAGUUAAUCAAAAGACAAAAUCAAAUAUUUGGUUAGAACCUAGUUCGAUCCCCAGCAGAGUCGCCAUUUCUGUUUUACGGAGAUUUUGACUUUUGAGAGUCGCCACUUAAUUUUGAAAAAAGGAAUUAAGAAACCUUUAGAGAGUUACUUCAAACGAUUCAAAACAGGAAAAUCAUUUUAAGUUAGAGAUUCUAGGUAAGUGGUUCCUAUUAAUAUUUUAGGAAGGUGUUAGGCACCUAAAACGUCCGCUAACUUGCGGUUGUCCGAACUAUUUGUAAAUCGUUUUUUGAUUAACUUCGAAAAGAUUAAUUUAGUUGAAAAGUGAUUGAUUUUUGGAAAGAAAGUGAUUUUUGAAAUAUUUUGGUGUUUAUGCAAAACAAGUUUUUAGCAGCUUGACUAAGGGUUUAACUAGGUUCGCAAAACACAUAAGGCAAACAAGCGUAAAGAAAAAAAAGGGGAAGGGGAGAAAGUAACGGAUUUAGGCCAUUAAGCCCAAAUCAAUGAGACCUGUCCUAGUCUAAUUGGGCUUUCGCCCCAUUUCACCUGUCCUAAACUAUUCUUUCAGGCCCGUUGGCCCAAAAUUCGCUCCACCUGUAUUAAGUACAACUUUGACUUCAUAGCCCAAAUGAACGAAUAAAACAUAAAUAACUAAAUAAAUAAAUAAAACAAUGAAGAAUGAUAAAAUGAACAAAUACAAUGGAAAAUCGAGACUUUCAAGUCUCUUGGCCGCUUCGAAUAUGGGACUUUAACCCAUUUUCUCUUUCGACUCCUCGUAUCCAUGCACCAUUUUAACCGACUUUAGACUCUCUUUUGGGACUGAAUCGGUGAGAUAGGCCUCAUUGGCCCAUCAUAAAUAUGCAACAGGGAAGGAGUCCAUAGGACUCAAUUGACGGGUUCAUGCAAAGAAAAGGAGAAAAGUAUUAACACAUGUGCUCAAGAUUUUAACAAGUACUGAACUAUCAGAUUCAUGCUUCAUUCAAAUACAUUCAUACACGGGUAAGAGUGCCACAGGAGAUAAGUUCUAUAAAGUUUGAAGAAGACGUUCAUAAUAGAUUAAGGAAGUUCCCACUACAUGAGGGAAUAAAGCUCAAAAAGGGUUUCUCAUGAUCCUUAGCAAAUAAGACAAACAAUUUAUCACUUUAAUACCAUGAGAUUUAUCAAUCAAGCAUGUCACAAAGAAAAUAUUUCAUAAGACAGUCAUAAGGAUGUAAAUCAAUCAAGAGAAAUAUAAUAAAACAUGCUAGGAGAGAAAUAACAAUGACUUUUUUCUCAAACGAAGUUCGAAUCCUAGUUCCUUACAAGACUAAAAGGAUAUAAAAAUAUUAAUUUAAUUAAUUCAUUAUUGAUUAAUACUCAAGGGGGAGAAAGAAUUAUAAAGCCAAGCAGUUGAUUUCAUACUAAAUAAAUCAUGGAUUGCACAAGCAACGUUCAGGUUUCAGAAUUCCAAACAUACAAAAGUUACAAACUUAAUCACUCCAGGCGAAGAAAAUGAUAACCAAAACUUCAAAUAAUUAAAGCCUAAAUCAUAAUUUUUUUUCAAUUGUAUUAACAAACAAAUGAGAUUUAAACAACAUACAAACAUUUUAAAAGAUAUACAACAUAUGUAAGGUUACGCUCUGUCAUCAAAAGGGAAAUCGAAUUUCGGAUGAUUCAAGUGUGAGACGAGGUGCCACAAUUUUCUUAUAUGCGAAUCAAAGAAGGCAAGAAAGGAAAGAAAUCCUUAUCCAAUAAAAUUUUUAAUCCGUUCUCAUGAGACAAUUACAGUACAUUUAAUUAUGCUAAUCAAAAUUAGCCACGACGAAGACAUAAUUUGGCCCUGUAGUCCAUUUUCAUAUCUUAAGCAAACUUUAAAAUCAAAAUGGGAUUACUGUACAUCAAAAGUAGCAAACAGGAAGAAAAUAGCAUUCCAAUUUUUUUUUUAAAACAAUCAACUAUGAUUAAGCGAGAGUGAUACAUGAACAGGCCGACUACAAGCAAAGAUUUAUUCAACUUUAGUGAAGGAAAUUUGAGAUUGGAAUGAGGAAAGCUUGGAAUGAGGAGCAACCUAGGGAAACUGAGUUAGGAUACUCAAGUUUUCUCUAGAGCUCAACUCUUCCUACUCUCAUUCUCAUUGAAUCCACAGUCAAUCUAACAAGGGAGACAACUUGCUAUUUAAUUUAGAAUCGGCAGGAUUCUACGGGAAACUAUUAUAACCCACC
rnacentral:lncRNA from 1 species